rnacentral:rRNA from 1 species
AGGCUUACACAUGCAGUCGAGCGGAGAGAGGUAGCUUGCUACUGAUCUUAGCGGCGGACGGGUGAGUAAUGCUUAGGAAUCUGCCUAUUAGUGGGGGACAACAUUUCGAAAGGAAUGCUAAUACCGCAUACGUCCUACGGGAGAAAGCAGGGGAUCUUCGGACCUUGCGCUAAUAGAUGAGCCUAAGUCGGAUUAGCUAGUUGGUGGGGUAAAGGCCUACCAAGGCGACGAUCUGUAGCGGGUCUGAGAGGAUGAUCCGCCACACUGGGACUGAGACACGGCCCAGACUCCUACGGGAGGCAGCAGUGGGGAAUAUUGGACAAUGGGCGCAAGCCUGAUCCAGCCAUGCCGCGUGUGUGAAGAAGGCCUUAUGGUUGUAAAGCACUUUAAGCGAGGAGGAGGCUACUCUAGUUAAUACCUAGAGAUAGUGGACGUUACUCGCAGAAUAAGCACCGGCUAACUCUGUGCCAGCAGCCGCGGUAAUACAGAGGGUGCAAGCGUUAAUCGGAUUUACUGGGCGUAAAGCGCGCGUAGGCGGCUAAUUAAGUCAAAUGUGAAAUCCCCGAGCUUAACUUGGGAAUUGCAUUCGAUACUGGUUAGCUAGAGUGUGGGAGAGGAUGGUAGAAUUCCAGGUGUAGCGGUGAAAUGCGUAGAGAUCUGGAGGAAUACCGAUGGCGAAGGCAGCCAUCUGGCCUAACACUGACGCUGAGGUGCGAAAGCAUGGGGAGCAAACAGGAUUAGU